CGGACGGGUGAGUAACGCGUGAGUAACCUGCCUUACACAAGGGGAUAGCCGUUGGAAACGACGAAUAAUACCCUAUGAAACUAUCACUUCGCAUGAAGCGAUAGUCAAAGUGUUAGCGGUGUAAGAUGGACUUGCGUCUGAUUAGCUAGUUGGUGAGAAAAAGCCACCAAGGCAACGAUCAGUAGCCGGCUUGAGAGAGUGUACGGCCACAUUGGGACUGAGACGCGGCCCAG
rnacentral:rRNA from 1 species